CUUGCAAUAAGUAUAGCGGGUUCCUGGCAACUCUUCAUAGGAGUAGACCAUCCUCUUUCAACUCUGUAGUCCUUAUGAAUGUCAGUCAUUGACCUCAAGUCAAAUGCCGGUCGCUCAUAAAUGAGUUGCUUCAGCCGCACUGAGUCUUACUUACUGGCACAUAGUAUUCCCCAUUACUAAUAACCAGUCAAUGGAUGGGAAUUGCCAAUCAUUAGCAGGCAGUCUGUGUCAC